AUUGAACGCUGGCGGCAGGCUUAACACAUGCAAGUCGAGCGGAGAUGAGGUGCUUGCACCUUAUCUUAGCGGCGGACGGGUGAGUAGUGCUCAGGAAUCUGCCUAUUAGUGGGGGACAACAUUCCGAAAGGAAUGCUAAUACCGCAUACGUCCUACGGGAGAAAGCAGGGGAUCUUCGGACCUUGCGCUAAUAGAUGAGCCUAAGUCGGAUUAGCUAGUUGGUGGGGUAAAGGCCUACCAAGGCGACGAUCUGUAGCGGGUCUGAGAGGAUGAUCCGCCACACUGGGACUGAGACACGGCCCAGACUCCUACGGGAGGUAGUAGUGGGGAAUAUUGGACAAUGGGGGGAACCCUGAUCCAGCCAUGCCGCGUGUGUGAAGAAGGCCUUAUGGUUGUAAAGCACUUUAAGCGAGGAGGAGGCUACUGAGACUAAUACUCUUGGAUAGUGGACGUUACUCGCAGAAUAAGCACCGGCUAACUCUGUGCCAGCCGCCGCAGUAA
rnacentral:rRNA from 1 species